UACGGGGGGGGCAAGCGUUGUUCGGAAUUACUGGGCGUAAAGGGUGCGUAGGCGGUUUGCUAUGUCGGAUGUGAAAACUCUGGGCUCAACCCAGAGCCUGCAUCCGAAACUGGCGAGCUAGAGUUCUGGAGGGGGUAGCGGAAUUCCUGGUGUAGCGGUGAAAUGCGUAGAUAUCAGGAGGAACACCGGUGGCGAAGGCGGGUCUCUGGGCCGAUACUGACGUGAGGAGCGAAAGCGUGGGGGAGCGAACAGG
rnacentral:rRNA from 1 species